rnacentral:rRNA from 1 species
UACGUAGGUGGCAAGCGUUGUCCGGAUUUACUGGGCGUAAAGAGCGCGCAGGCGGUCGAUUUAGUCGCGUGUGAAAGCCCCCGGCUCAACUGGGGAGGGUCACGCGAUACUGAUCGACUCGAAGGCAGGAGAGGGUAGUGGAAUUCCCGGUGUAGCGGUGAAAAUGCGCAGAUAUCAGGAGGAACACCGGUGGCGAAGGCGGUUCUCUGGGCCUUACCUGACGCUGAGGAGCGAAAAGCGUGGGGGAGCAAAACAGG